UUAUUUUUGGUUAAAGAACAUUGAAAUCCUAGUUUCAUCACUUCUCUCUUUCUGCCUCCAGCUAGUCUCUCUCUUCCAUAUUCGCGCGGCUCCAUGCUUCUACUGAACGGACCAGCUCCAGUCGUCCACCGCCAAAACAGAUGCCAUAUUCGGACUCCCCAACUCCCUAAACCUUGUUACCCUACUCUCUCUUUCUCUCUCUCUCGUUUUCCUCUCCUCCUCGCACUCCCUCGUAUGCUUUGGCUCAUCUAAUUCGUCACAGGAUUUGGCUGUUGUUCCUGCUAAUUUUGUUGUUUACUAUGAAGUUGAACUCGUCUCCUUCGUUAAGGAAAAGGAAUCUUGGGAUAUGAACACACAGGAGAAGUAGAAAAAGGAAGAAGGCAAUGCCUUGUUCAAGGCUGGUAAAUAUGAAAGAGCCUCAAAAACAUAUAAGAAGGCUGUGAGUAUCGUCGAAUAUAUAUGAUUCUUCCUUCAGUGAUGAAGAGAAGCAACAAGCAAAGGUGCUGAAAAUCACAUGUAAUCUUAACAAUGCAGCCUGUAAACUAAAACUCAAAGAUUAUAAGCAAGCAGAUCUACCACAAGACUGAGGACGAGCUUGAAGAACUCGACGUUGAUCGAUUCCUCUCGAAGAUUGAAGAAUUUGUUCUAGCUACGUUUCCAAUGAAAGAAGGAAGUCAUAGUUCUGCGCUUGGUAACUUUUGGUUUCGCCAUUGCCACCGAGAGACGGAGAAGCGUUUUUUCUUUGUGCUUGCUACAGUUUCACAUUCAACUUCAAGAUGAGGUUACUUUCAUAAUUGUGGAGAUGGUGGUUUUUGAGGAAAUAUUUAUGAUUGAGAUUGACUUUCCUCCCAAAGCUGACCAUUGAGGUAUAAUUUUAUCAUUUUAUGCUCAUAUUUACUUUAGAAGUUAAUCAUGAAGAAGUUUUGAUAUUAUAAUUUAUUUGAACUUAAGUAUUAUUUCAUAAAUUUUUUAUUGGUCAAACAAACAGUAAAAAAUCUAAUAUGAUUACCUUUGUCAUGAACAGAAAAAUAUAUAUCUAAUACAUAAACGCAUACGACAAACCUUUGUAUUCUUGAGUCCUCCAAUCAAACCUUGCUUUUGUCCGAUCAAAAUUAUACUAAAAAAUGAUCGCAAAUGUAGGACAAUCAAAAUUUCAAAAAUUAAAAAAAAUUUCUGAAGACAUUUGUAUAGAUAAUUAACAUAUAUUAAAUUUGGAGUGUUGGAUCUCCAAGAAUUGGGUGUAAAGAAAACACCAUCAAGCAAAUUUUGAUUUUAGAUUGAUAUAGCUAGAAAAUACACAGUAGUGAAUCUACUAAUUAUGAUGUGAGACAUUAGUGAGUUAGAAGUACAUAUAAGUGUAGUAAAAGGGAUUUGAAAUCUUACCGUUGCUGUAAGGAAAAUGGAAAGUGAUUCCUCUGAUUAAGAGAUAAAAGAAGUAGUAGUGAUGAUGAUAGUGAAAAUGUCUCUUAGGUGAGUGUUAAUGAUAGAGGUCAAUGAGGCUAACUGAAGAAGAAUAAGGAAGGAUCUCAAGGAGAAUUUGAUGAUUAGUUUGGGACGUUUAGAUAUGCAGAUCAUCAAAAAAUGAUAACAUUUAAUAGUAAAAAUAGUUUUUAAUAAAGUUAUAUAUAUUUUGCAAUUUUUUAACUUACUGCACGUUAUGUAGCUCUAAAAUAGCUGACUUACUGUUUUAUAGCCUAAUUAUUGUUAUAUAAUAUGGCUGCUCGAUGUUAUACAGUAUAGCUGAGUUACUGUUUUAUAGCUAUAAUAUAGUUGAGUUAGUCAGUCAAGGAAGGAAUUCAAUUGUUGAAUUCAAUCUAAUUAAAAAGGAUAAAUUAUUGUAUCAAACUAAUAGUUUUUUUUUUUUUUUUGGUUAAAAAAUAAUUAUCUGUUUUUUUUUUCAUAAAAACUUAAAUAAAAUGUCAAUAAGAUUUGUUCCGUGUGUCAGGUAAAGCAUUGUGAAAUUCAGCAAUUGUUUUGAAAAAUAUUAUUGGCUUUAUUGCUCUACUUGCUGGACAUGGCUUAUUAAUUAGUUUUAAAUUACAUGUUAAGAGUAGCUGUUGUAGUUGCAAGUUUUCAGAGGUUUGUUUAGAGUUUGCUCUCUUGUGUCUUUGUAAUGGUGAAACUCUAUUUGCCUAAUCAGUUGUUAUGUUUCUCUAAAAAAAUUAGUUUUAAAUAGGUGAAGUCUAUGAAAGGAAACGUUGGUGAUAAUGUAGCUGAGAAGAGAGUUUAUCUUGGAACAUUUUUUGUCAGCUCAAUAUUGUAAUUCCAUUAAAGAGAUUAAUAAAGUUUUUUAAUUAUUUUAUUAAAAAAUAUUUCGUUUUCAAUAGAAAGUAAAGAAAAAGAAAGAGAAGAAAAGAAAUGAUUCAAGAGAAAUUUUCAUUGAAUGAAUGGAACAGUACAAUAUGUCCCUUUAUAUAUACAUGACAGUACAAGAAUAAUAUUAGUUACAGACACAAACUAACAUAACAGAAAAACUAACUCUGACAUCACAUCCUAACUAACUCACCCAAUUCUGAAACUCCCCCUCAAGAUGGAGCAAAGAUGUUUUGCAAUCCCAUCUUGUUUUUUAAAUGGUUGAAUUGAUUAGGGAACAAUGCUUUGGUAAGGAUGUCAGCAACCUGUUCUUUGGAAGUAACAUGAGCUGUUUUUACUAAACCAGAUUGUAUCUUCUCUCUAACCAAGUGACAAUCGAUUUCGAUGUGCUUGGUUCUUUAAUGAUACACAAGAUUAGCUCCAAUGUGUAUUGCAGCUUGAUUGUAACAAAACAGUUCUACUCUAUCCCAACUCUUUUAGAACAGAGAUGAGCCAUACAACUCUAUAAACUGCAGUUGCCAUAGCCCUGUAUUCGGUCUCAGCAAAGGAUCUAGAAACAGCGUGCUGCUUUUUGCUUUUCCAGGAUAUCAAGGACUUUCCAAUAAACACACAAUACCCUGUAGUAGAUCUCCUUGAAUCUUGGCAUGCUCCCCAGUCGGCAUCAGUGUAAGCUCUAAGUUGCACAUCUGUUUCUAUAGGAAAAAAUAACCCCAAACCAGGACAUUCUUUGACAUACUGCAAUAUCCUUUCAGCAGCUUUCAUAUGAAGGGAUCUAGGACUAUUAAGAUAUUGACAGAGUAGGAAAGAUCUGGCUUGGUUAUUGUCAAAUAUUGAAGCUUGUUAAUGAUUUUUCUGUAGCUUUGAGAAUUAUCCAGGAGUUCUACUGAAUCCUGAUGCAGCUUCAAAUUUGGUUCCAUUGGUGUAGUUACUUGUUUGGAUCCUAAUUUUCCAAAGUCUUCAAGAAUUUGAAGAGCAUAUGGUCUUUGAGAAAUGAAUAUUCCUUCAUUAGUUUUUGCAACUUCAAUCUCCAAAAAAAUAUCUCAAACUUCCUAAGUCCUUUAGCUUAAAUCUGUCAUUAAGUCUGAGAGUGAGAGAUCGAAUGGAUGCAAGGUCAUUACUUGCUAUGAUCACAUCAUCACCAUAAACAAGUAAUGCCAUAAAGUGAUUAGAGGAAUGUUGUAUGAAGAGGGAAUGGUCUGUUGCAGAAUGUGUAAAACCUUCUUCAAGUAAGACACUUGGAAAUUUGGCAAAACAUUGCCUUGAAGCUUGUUUUAAUCCAUACUAGAAUUUCUUGAGUUUACAAACAGGAUUGGCAGGUAGAUUCUCCCCCUUAGGACUAUACCCCUGAGGUAAAGUCAUAAACACUUCCUCAUGCAAAUCCUCAUGAAGGAAUGCAUUAUUGACAUCAAGUUGUUGAAGAUGCCAAUUAUGCAUUGCUGCAAGUGCCAAGAUGAGUUUAACAGAAACCAACUUUGCAACAAGGGAAAAUGUUUUUGUAUAAUCGAUCCCUUCUUGCCAAGUAUACCCCUUGGCCACCAGUUUGGCUUUAAACCUCUCAACUGUUCCAUCUGAAUUUAAUUUGAUUUUAUAAACCUACUUACACCCUAUUGGAUGUUUCCCUGCAGGUAAAGACACAAUGAUCCAUGUAUGGUUCUGUUCAAGGGCAAUAAUCUCAUGAUCCAUAGCUUGCAACCAUUUAGGAUAAGCUGCUGCUUGCUGAUAUGUAGUAGGUUCAAAAAGGCUUGAAACAGCAAGAACAAAGGCUUUAAAAGCAGGAGACAAUUUCUUGUAAGUGAGAGUAUUAGAAAUAGGGUGAGAUGUAGAUGGUGUAGGUUGAGAAGUGCUGGAAACCUGAGCUAAGGAGCAAUGGUAAUCUUGCAGGUAGGAUGGGGGUUUGAUAACUUGAGUGGAUUGAGUAACAGGUGUAGAUGUGGAGGCAUCAUGGUGAGUCUUGAGAGUGUUUGACACCUUGGGUGAACCAGAAGGAGGGAGACAUGAAUUUGAAAAAAAAAAAAAAUUGAUGGGAAAAAGGUACAGAGGUACCUGAAGUAUAAGGGAAAAUAGACUCAUAAAAAUUGAACAUCCGUAGACAUGAACAUUCAAUUGGUAUGAAGGUCAAGCAACCUGUAUGCCUUCAUACUAGUGAGAUAUCCUAAAAAGACACAAGCAAUGGCUCUAGGAGAAAUUUUUUUUCUAUGACUAGGGAGUGUGGAAGCAUAGGUUGAACAACCAAAUUCUUUUAAAUGAGAGUAGGUGGGGGUUUGAUUAUGCAACAUUUCAAAAGGAGAUUUAUGUUGCAAGUUGGGGGAGGGAGUCCUAUUAAUAAGAUAGGCAGCAAUGCCUACACAAUGGUUCCAAUAACAUAGGGGAAUAUGGGAUUGGAAAAGUAAAGCCCGAGUUACAUUAAAUAGGUGUUGGUGCUUUCUUUCAAUAACUGAAUUUUGUUGAGGAUGCUCAACACAGGAGUGGAAAUGUUGGAUGCCUAGAGAGUUAAAAAGGGUGGGGAAUUGUAACUCUUUGGCAUUAUCAAAUCUGAGGCUUUUCACUUGAGUAUUAAACUAAGUCUUAACUAGAUUUAGAAAGUUAGGAAUGGCUUCUUGAGCCUCAGAUUUUUGUUUGAGAAAAUACACCCAUGUAUAUCUAGAGUGGUCAUCAACAAUGGUCAAAAAAUACUUAAAACCUUCAGUUGUUAUAGUAUUAUAGGGCCCCCAUAUAUCAAUAUGUAUGAGAUCAAAAACAGUGAUCUGAAAAAUUGUUAUUGGAAAUAAUAGGCAAUCUUUUUUGUUUGGCAAGAUGACAAAUUUAGCAAUGAAAAUCAUCAGAAUGUGAAUGAUCAAAAAUCAAUUCUUUAUUCAAUGAAUGUUGUUUUAUACAAGCAGAAUGGCCUAAUCUAUAGUGCCAUAUGUUUUCAACAUGAGGUUUAAAAUCAAAAAAAUUACAAUUUGAGACAAAAGAACUUGAAGGAAUGUCAAGGUAAAAAAGGUUGCCUACUCGAUCACCCCUCCCAAUCUGAGUAUGUUGGAUAGUCUCUUGAAUGACACAGGAAUUAGCAGAAAAUAAGAAGGUGCAUGACAUGGAUUUCAUUAAAGAACUGACAGAUAAAAGAUUAGUGUUGAAUGCAGGGAUAUAGAGGACAUUUGAAAGAGUUAAGGUAGGAGUAAUAAUGACAGAACCAAUGCAAGACACAGAUGCUACUUGGCCAUUUGGGAGAUGAAUUGGUGUCAAAGAAGGGUUAGGAAAAGUUUGAGAGAAUAAAGCUAAGUUAUGACAAACAUGAUGAGUUGCCCCAAUGUUAAUAAUCCAUUUAGAAUGAGAUUUAAGAGAAUUCAUACCAGAGAAGUGAGACACCAUAGGUGGUUGAGUGGUUUUUGGUGUAGAGCCAUUGGUAGAAUUUUCUUGAAUUCGAUUUGCAAGCAAUUAGAUUAUGGGUUGGCAUUGAGCAGUGGUGAGACCAGCAGUCAUGGCAGAGUUAAAACCCUUGUUAUUAAGGGUGUUCAUUGGAUCACAUCCAAUGUUUUUAGGCCUAUCCAAAUCUGAUCCAAUCAUAUAUUAGAUGUUAGAUUUUACCAUCCGAUCCGAUCCAAUUGAUUUCCAUCAUCCAAUCAAUCCAACAUCCAUUGGAUCGGUUCUAUCCAUUGGAUAUAUUUUAUGUAUAUUAUUUGUUUAAUUUCUCCAUUGGAUGUAUUUCAUAUAUAUUAUUUGUUUAAUUUGGGUUCAUCCAAUAUUUUAGACCUAGUAUUUUUUGGAUCGGAUCGAAGCCAUCCAAUAUUUUAGGUCCAGUACGUAUUGGAUUGGACUGGAUUUAUCUAAUCCAAGAAUAAAAGAGUAAAAUUUUAAUGUUAAUUUUCAUAUAUACAUAUAGAUUUGACGAAUAACAAUAUAAAAUCUAAUUACUCAUCCAAACUAAAAGAAAAUACUAUUUAGUUAGAUUGGAUGUUGGAUGUAUUAGAUUUUUAGACACCCCAUUCACCAUCCGAUUCAAUCCAAUUGAUAUUUAAAAAUAACAUUCAAUCCGAUCUGAUCACAAUUGUAUAUCCAAUGUUUGACGGUCAGUUGUAAUUGAAUCGGUCGGUUCUUAUUGGAUUGGAUCGAUUUAUGCACACCCCACUUGUUAUCUCCACUGUUGUCAACAGAGGCCUCAACUGAAUUUGCAGUAGGUUUUGAGACUAGAGGUUUUCCUCUCCCAUGGAAUUUGUGACCUGGAGGGUAGCCAUGAAUCUUGUAACACUUAGCAAUGGUAUGUUUAGUCAUCCCACAAUGAGUACAAACAACCUUAGAUCUGCCAAAUUGAGAACUCCCAUCCAACUGUCUUAAAACUUUGGCCAGAUUCAUUGUUCUCAGCUGGGGUAUUGUUCAAUUCUCUUUGUCUUUCUUCUUGGAUUAGAGUAGCAUACACUUUGUUUAUGCUAGGUAUAGGAUCUUGCAUCAAGAUUUGGGAUAUGGCAGUAGAAUAUGAUUCAUAUAUUCCAACCAAGAACUCUAACACACGAUCUUGUUCCUGGUAGGCUUGUAUAGUCUUCAUUGCCCCACAUGUACAAAUAGGUAGAGGUCGAAAAUCACAAAUCAUGUCCUGGAGAGCCCUUAAUUUCGUGAAAUAACCCUGAAUGUUGGCACUGCCUUGAACAAGAACUUGCAGAGCCCUCUUGACCUCAAACACCCGAGGUCCAUUAUUUUGCUAAAAACGUUCAUGAAGUUCUGCCCAGAUGGUUGCAGCAUUAUCUAUAUACAUUAUGCUGUCCCCAAUAUCAGAAGAAACAACAUGAAAAAUCCAAGAAAUGACUAAGCUGUUACAUCGACUCCAUGCAUCGUAAUCUUCGUGGUCAGGAACUGGUUCAAGAAGCUGUCCAUUGAUGAACUUCAUCUUAUUUCUGGGAAGAAGAGCAACACUCAUGGCGUGCUUCCAAGAAUUGUAAUUUUCUCUUCUUGUCAAGAUCAUGGGAACAAGGCUUGCACUCAGAUGAUUGCUAUUACUCAAGUAAUAAGGAUUCCGAGCUUCAUCCUUGUAUCCACGAGAAACCUGAUCUUGAACAUGAAUCUGAUUGUUGCCAUGGCCAAGCUCAUCACUUGAAUGUUGACCUUCUUCUAUAACUCCUCCACUUUGUGUUUGGACCAUGGCGUGAUGUGAGAAACAGAAAAACAGAGUAGAAAAAUGCAGAAGAAGAAGCCUUACGGCUCUGACCUGAUCUAGUAAUUCAUUAACUUAAAAAAAAAAUUUAAUUUAGACUCAGUUCAUAAAUCCCUAAAUUGAAUAUUUGAACUUCGAAGAAGCCCCUUUCCCUCGUCUGUCGUCUCCUUCCUCAAAUACAGUGCAAGUGAAACAUUGUAUUCAGCUCAAAAACUUGUUUCCCUGAGAAACCCAUUUCAUGGAAUCCAGCAAAGUCGAGGAUUUCCUUGCUGGGUAUUAACGAGAAGAGAACAGGGUUUUCGACAUCAAGAUUGGGUCUUCAUCUAGGUUUCGUUCUUCCGUUAUUCGAAACACAAAAUGGAGUAGAAAAGGUAAGGUACAAUUUAACUUCUGUUGAUAGACUAAAAUGGGUAUUAAGUUUAGAACUAUCAGAAGUUUUAAAUUACAGCGUAAUAAAUCUUCUUCCUCUUUUGAACAUAUAUAUAUAUGUAGCUGAAGAUGAAGAGAACAAACUAUGGUUGGUUUCAGUGUUGGUUAAUCAUCAUUAUCACCUCAAAACUCCAUAGCUCAAAACGCCACUACUGCCCCAUCUGAAGGAUAGGAAGAAAUUCUAAUUUCUAAAACAAGUUGAUAAGUUCUUGAACCCCAAGAUUGCACCUCAAGAGUUUGUGGAUGAGAUUAAGGUACUUUUACUAUGAUAUAACAUUCUUUUGUUUAAAAAUUUGCAGAUAUUAAAUCCAUAAUAUAUAUUUAAAUUGAUGUUCAAAAUGUUCUAUUUUUCAUAAUUUAAUAGAAGAGUUUGAAUAUCUCAUAUAUUCAUCUAUAGAGAAGUAGGAUUUGUGAAAUUUAUGUGCUGCAGUGAUAUAAGGAUGGAAACUUGUGUAUUAUCCGAUUGUUUGCGAUUGAAAUUGACAGAUGGUUAGGUUAAUAAAAUAGGGAAAACGCUGUCCGAUUUUUUUAAAAUAUAUUUAUCAUAUUUUCUAAGUAGCGUGCAUUGAUAGACAUGAGAAUAUAAUGUUAUUGUAGGUUAAUUAAAGAAUAAUGUCUGGUCAAAUCGGUUCUAAUUUUGAGGAUAAUAUUGAUUUUGUGCCAUCAACUAAUAUUGAAGAAAGACAAUCUGUUAGUAAUACAUUAGAUGAAAAUCAGAAUACCGGGAGAAAAAGAACUUCUCGUGCAUGAGAUCAUUUUACUCCUAUGAAAUUGAUGGUAAAAUUAAAGAGGUUUGCAAUCACUACGGGCGUUAGUUGGUGGGAGAAAGUUCUCAGGGACUACGCAUUUAAAUGCUCACGUAAAGAGGUGUCCAGUCAUAAAAGCCCAACUUGCUGUUAAUCCUACUACAAGCCUUUCAGUUCCUUUCAAUUUUGAGCCUGAUUUAGAAAGGAUCAAAUUGGCUCAAAUGAUCUUUAAGCAUGAAUAUCCAUUGUUCAUGGUUGAGCAUAGCAGGUUUAUAGAAUAUUCAAGUAUUUUGUGUCCCAUGUUUCAAAUGGUGUCAAGAAAUACGAUUAGGUCUGACGUCAUGAAAAUGUAUAAAAUUGAGAAAGAAAAAUAUAGGCAAAGUCUGGAAAAAAGUAGGAGCAAAAUAGCCAUAACCAGUGACAUGUGGACUGCAAAUUAUCAGAAGAGAGGAUAUAUGACUGUAACAGCUCAUUUUAUUGAUGAUGCUUGGAAUUUGCACAGUAAGAUUCUGAGUUUUAAGUAUGUUGCAUGUCCUUACAAUGCUCUAGCACUACUUGAGGCACUAAGAUCUUGUCUUAAUGAAUGAAAAAUAUAAGACAAGAUCAGUACAGUGACACUCGAUAAUUGUAGUGCAAAUGAUGCGAUGCUUGAACUUUUUAAAGGACAAGUUGAUCCUGAUAAUUUUAUUUUGAAGGGAAAGUUGCUACAUGUCGUUGUUUGUGCUCAUAUUUUAAAUUUAAUUGCCAAAAAUAGCUUAUUUGUCAUUGGUUAUAGUGUUGACAAAAUUUGAGACAGUGUUGCUUAUUGGUCGGACACACCAAAAAGACAUGAUAAAUUUAAGGACACUGCUCGCCAACUUGGAGUACCAUACACCAAAAAAAUAUCACUUGAUUGUGUAAUAAGGUGGAAUUUUACUUUUUUGAUGCUUAGCACAACUUUAUCGUACAAGACAAUAUUUGAACGUGCAAGGCUACGUGAGUUGAGAUUGAAGUGUGCCCCUUCAGAAAUUGAUUGACAAAAUGCUCAACAAUUAUGUGAUAAGUUAGAGGUGUUUCAUGAAGUGAAAGAGUUAUUUUCUGAAAUUUAGUAUCUUACCGCUAAUAUUUUUUUCCCAAAAAUAUGUGAAAUUAAGACUAACAUUGACUUAUAGAUGUCAUCAUAUGUGCUUUUUAUUAAGGUCAUGACAAUUCAAAUGAUGUCUAAGUUUCAAAAAUAUUGGGAAAAGAUUUACGAGUUUAUGUGUGUAGCGGUUGUUUUAGACCUGAGGCACAAGUUUAUGUUGCUUGAAUAUUAUUUUCCUGUAAUCUAUGAAAAUGAGCAAUAUGUAACUGAAAUUCCAAAUGUUUGUGAGUUUUGUUGUAAGUUAUUGGAAGAGUACGGGUUUAAGUUUCGUCAUUUGAGAGAGAAGAGUUCAAGUAGAAAAUGUAUCAUCUUUUUCGACACGGCGAAUGGAUGCCCUUUCUAACUUUGACAGAUUUGUUAGAGCUUCCUAUCGAGUAGAAAAUGUGUAGUCUGAACUAGAUUUAUAUUUAGAGGAGAACUUGGUACCUAGGACUGAAGAGUCCUCAAAUAUCCUUUGUUGAGUAUGAUUUUUAAGGAUGUAUUUGAUGUGCCUGUUAACACUGUUGCUCCAGAAUCUAUAUUCAGCACUGGUGGUAGACACGUGAGUCCUCAUCGAUCGAGAUUUCAUCCUUCUACAUUAAAAGCAUUAGUGUGCACUGGUGGUAGAUAUAUGGAUGUUGACCCUUUACGUGGCAACAUCUAAUAAUUUGUUUUUUUUUUAUUUAAAAAAAAGUCACCCAAUAAUUUUCUAUAAACUAAGAAUUCUGUUGUAUAGCCACAUUUUAUAUAGAAUAGAUAUAUAAAUAUUUAUUUAAUGAUUUUUACCUUUUUUUGUCAGUCAUCAACCAAUUCUGUAUGAACACUAAUGUUUCUAAUGUAGAAUGAUGAAGUCUCGAUCGAUAAGGACUCGCGUGUCUACCACCAGUGCUAAAUGUAGAUUUUGAAGCAACAGUGCUAAAUGUAGAUUUUGAAGCAACAGUGCUAAUAGACACAUCAAAUACAUCAUUGGCAAUCAUACUCAACAAAGGGUAUUUGAGGACUCUUCAGUCCUAGGUACUAAGUUCUCUUUCAAAUAUAAAUCUAGUUCAAACUUCACAUUUUCUACUCCAUAGGAAGCUCUAACAAAUUUAUCAAAGUUAGAAAGGGCAUCCAUUCGCCGUGUCGAAGAAGAUACAUUUUCUACCUGAACUCUUCUCUCUCUCAAAUGAGGAAACUUAGACCUGUACUCUUCCAUUAACUCGCAACAAAGCUCACAAACAUUUGCAAUUUCAGUUACAUAUUGCUCAUCUCCAUAGAUUAUAGGGAAAUAAUAUUUGAGCAACAUAAAUUUGUACAUCGGGUCUAAAACAACCGCCACACACAUAAGCCCAUUAAUCUUUCCUCAAUAUUUUUGAAACUUAGACAUCAUUUGAAUUGUUAUGUCCUUAAUAAAAGGCACAUCUGAUGACAUCCACGAGUCAAUGUUUGUCUUAAUUUCACAUAUUUUUUGGAAAAAAAAUAUUAGUGGUAGGAUACUUUGUUCCAGAAAAUAACUCUGUCACUUCAUGAAGUACCUCUAACUUAUCACAUAAUUGUUGAGCAUUUUGCCAAUCAAUUACCGAAAUGGCACACCUCAAUCUCAACUCACGUAGCCUUACACGUUCAAAUACUGUCUUGUACGAUAAAAUUGUGCUAAGCAUCAAAAAAGUAGAAUUCCACCUUGUUACACAAUCAAGUAAUAUUUUUUUGGUGUAUGGUACUCCAAGUUGACGAGCAGUGUACUCAAAUUUUUCACGUCUUUUUGGUGUGUCUGACUAAUAAGCAACACUGUCUUGAAUUUUGUCAAUACUAUCACCAAUGACAGAUAAGCCAUCCUUGACAAUUAGAUUUAAAAUAUGUGCACAACAAUACAUAUGUAACAACUUUCCCUUCAAAAUAAAACUGUCAGGCUCAAAUUGUCCUUUUAAAAGUUCAAUCAUGGCAUCAUUUGCACUACAAUUAUCGAGAGUCACUGUACUGAUCUUGUCUUCAAUUUUCCAUUCAUUAAUACUAGAUCUUAGUGCCUCAAGUAGUGCUGAAGCAUCGUGAGGACAUGGAACAUACUUAAACUCAGAAUUUAACUGUGAAAAUUCCAAGAAUAUUCAAUAAAAUGAGCUGUUACAGCCAUAUAUCAUCUCUUCUGAUGAUUUGUAGUCCAUAUGUCACUGGUUAUGACUAUUCUGCUCCUACUUUUUUUAGACUUUGCCUACAUUUCUCUUUCUCAGUUUUAUACAUGAUGUCAUAUCUAAUCGUAUUUUUUGACACCAUUUAAAACAUGGGAAACAAAGUACUUGAAUAUUUUAUAAAUCCACUAUGCUCAAUUAUGGACAAUGGAUAUUCAUGCUUAACGAUCAUUUGAGCCGAUUUGAUCUUUCUUAAA